rnacentral:rRNA from 1 species
UACGGAGGGUGCAAGCGUUAUCCGGAUUCACUGGGUUUAAAGGGUGCGUAGGUGGGCAAGUAAGUCAGUGGUAAAAUCUCCGGGCUUAACCCGGAAACUGCCAUUGAUACUAUUUGUCUUGAAUACUGUGGAGGUCAGCGGAAUAUGUCAUGUAGCGGUGAAAUGCUUAGAUAUGACAUAGAACACCAAUUGCGAAGGCAGCUGGCUACACAAAUAUUGACACUGAGGCACGAAAGCGUGGGGAUCAAACAGG